UGAGUAACGCGUGGGAAUCUACCCUUUAGUUGGGGACAACAUAUGGAAACGUAUGCUAAUACCGAAUAUGCUCUACGGAGUAAAGGUGCCCUCUCCUUGGAAGGUAUCGCUAAAGGAUGAGCCCGCGUUAGAUUAGCUAGUUGGUAAGGUAAAGGCUUACCAAGGCGACGAUCUAUAGCUGGUUUGAGAGGAUGAUCAGCCACACUGGGACUGAGACACGGCCCAGACUCCUACGGGAGGCAGCAGUGGGGAAUAUUGCACAAUGAGGGAAACCUUGAUGCAGCCAUGCCGCGUGUGUGAAGAAGGCCCGAGGGUUGUAAAGCACUUUCAAUUGUGAGGAAGAUUAAGUAGCUAAUACCUGCUUAGUUUGACGUUAACUUUAGAAGAAGCACCGGCUAACUCUGUGCCAGCAGCCGCGGUAAUACAGAGGGUGCAAGCGUUAUUCGGAAUUACUGGGCGUAAAGCGCGCGUAGGCGGACUGUUAAGUCGGUUGUGAAAGCCCUGGGCUCAACCUAGGAACUGCAUCCGAUACUGGCAAUCUAGAGUUUAAGAGAGGGAAGUGGGAUUCCAGGUGUAGCAGUGAAAUGCGUAGAUAUCUGGAGGAACA
rnacentral:rRNA from 1 species